rnacentral:rRNA from 1 species
AUUGAACGCUGGCGGCAUGCCUUACACAUGCAAGUCGAACGGUAACGCGGGGCAACCUGGCGACGAGUGGCGAACGGGUGAGUAAUGUAUCGGAACGUGCCCAGUUGUGGGGGAUAACUGCUCGAAAGAGCAGCUAAUACCGCAUACGACCUGAGGGUGAAAGCGGGGGAUCGCAAGACCUCGCGCAAUUGGAGCGGCCGAUAGCAGAUUAGGUAGUUGGUGGGGUAAAGGCUCACCAAGCCAACGAUCUGUAGGUGGUAUGAGAGGACGACCAGCCGCAUGGGGACUGGGACAGGGCCCAGACUACUACGGGAGGAAGCAGUGGGGAAUUUUGGACAAUGGGCUAAAGUCUGAGCCAGCCAUGCCGCGUGCGGGAAGAAGGCCUUGGGGUUGUAAACCGCUUUUGUCAGGGAAGAAACGCUCUGGGUUAAUACCUCGGGGUAAUGACGGUACCUGAAGAAUAAGCACCGGCUAACUACGUGCCAGCAGCCGCCGUAACAC